rnacentral:rRNA from 1 species
UACAGGGGGUGCAAACGUUGCUCGGAAUCAUUGGGCGUAAAGCGCACGUAGGCGGUUCGUUAUGUCGGAUGUGAAAGCCCUUGGCUUAACCGAGGAAGUGCAUCCGAAACUGGCGAGCUAGAGUACUAAAGAGGAUCGCGGAAUUCCCGGUGUAGAGGUGAAAUUCGUAGAUAUUCGGAAGAACACUAGUGGCGAAGGCGACUUACUGGACACAUAUUGACGCUGAGGUGCGAAAGCGUGGGGAGCAAACAGG